AUUGAACGCUGGCGGCAGGCCUAACACAUGCAAGUCGAGCGGAGCGGCGGACGGGUGAGUAAUGCCUAGGAAUCUGACUGGUAGUGGGGGAUAACGUCCGGAAACGGGAGCUAAUACCGCAUACUAUCAGAUUAACCUAGGUGGGAUUAGCUAGUUGGUGGGGUAAAGGCCUACCAAGGCGCCGAUCCGUAACUGGGCUGAGAGGAUGAUCAGUCAAACUGGAACUGGGACCCGGUCCAGCCUCCUCGGGAAGGCAGAAGUGGGGAAUAUUGGACAAUGGGCGAAAGCCUGAUCCAGCCAUGCCGCGGGUGUGAAGAAGGUCUUCGGAUUGUAAAGCACUUUAAGUUGGGAGGCGUUACCAACAGAAUAAGCACCGGCUAACUUCGUGCCAGCCGCCGCGGUAAUAC
rnacentral:rRNA from 1 species